rnacentral:rRNA from 1 species
AUUGAACGCUGGCGGCAGGCUUAACACAUGCAAGUCGAGCGGGGUGAUGGUGCUUGCACUAUCACUUAGCGGCGGACGGGUGAGUAAUGCUUAGGAAUCUGCCUAUUAGUGGGGGACAACAUCCCGCACGGGAUGCUAAUACCGCAUACGUCCUACGGGAGAAAGCAGGGGCUCACUCGUGUCCUUGCGCUAAUAGAUGAGCCUAAGUCGGAUUAGCUAGGUGGUGGGGUAAAGGCCUACCAAGGCGACGGUCUGUAGCGGGUCUGAGAGGAUGAGCCGCCACACUGGGACUGAGACACGGCCCAGACUCCUACGGGAGGCAGCAGUGGGGAAUGUUGGACAAUGGGGGGAACCCUGAUCCAGCCAUGCCGCGUGUGCGAAGAAGGCCUUAUGGUUGUAAAGCACUUUAAGCGAGGAGGAGGCUCUUUUGGUUAAUACCCAAGAUGAGUGGACGUUACUCGCAGAAUAAGCACCGGCUAACCCUGUGCCAGCAGCCGCGGUAA